rnacentral:rRNA from 1 species
UACGGAGGAUCCGAGCGUUAUCCGGAUUUAUUGGGUUUAAAGGGUGCGUAGGCGGAAAUGUAAGUCAGUGGUGAAAUCCUGCAGCUUAACUGUAGAAUAGCCGUUGAAACUGUGUUUCUUGAGUACAUUUGAGGUAGGCGGAAUGUGUAGUGUAGCGGUGAAAUGCAUAGAUAUUACACAGAACACCGAUUGCGAAGGCAGCUUACUAAUCCAUCAUUGACGCUGAGGCACGAAAGCGUGGGGAUCAAACAGGAUUAGAUA